UACGUAGGGUGCGAGCGUUAAUCGGAAUUACUGGGCGUAAAGCGUGCGCAGGCGGUUCGUUGUGUCGGCGGUGAAAGCCCCGGGCUCAACCUGGGAAUGGCCGUUGAAACUGGCGAACUGGAGUGUGGCAGAGGGGGGUGGAAUUCCGCGUGUAGCAGUGAAAUGCGUAGAGAUGUGGAGGAACACCGAUGGCGAAGGCAGCCCCCUGGGCUGACACUGACGCUCAGGCACGAAAGCGUGGGGAGCAAACAGG
rnacentral:rRNA from 1 species